rnacentral:lncRNA from 1 species
CUUGUUUUCCUAGAGGGAGAAAUUCUAUACUGGAAAACGUAAUGCUUUUAGGAGAAUUGAAUUGCCUCCUUGGCAUGAAGCUGAUUGUCUUUGUUCUUCAUUUUCCCAUUUCUUUAUCAGUAUUAUUUUUUGUCAUUGUCUGAUAUCAAGUAGAGUCAACUUCGAAUUUAGAAGCUCUGGGUCUUAUUAAUGUCUAACACAAUAAUUGAACAGUAGCAGAAGAAGUAGAGACUAAAGCGUCUAAAAGAAGAAUAUCCAAAGAGAAACAUCCAGCAAGGUUGCUCCAUGGUGCCUUCCAAGAUGGCCUUCUCCCUCAAUAAGGAAAGGCGCCCAGAAGCUGCCAUCCAUCAUUUGCCACCUCCACUUUGUCUUAAUCGACAACUUGAAGGGCUUAAGUUCUUGCGUAACAAUGCAAAGAGAAUUAGUCAAAAUGAACAUCAAGGGAGUGUAUGUAAUCCCCAUCUCUCCGGUCCGGCAGCAAGUUUUAUAGUAGCGGGGGCUAAUGACUUCAAAAUAGAUAAUAUUUGUUCAGUUGUGAUGGAUACAAUUGGAGUUAAUUCUUGUUGAAAGCAUGGAACUUUAAAAAUCUACCUAUGAAUUCUAUGGAGGGUUUGAGUAAAAAUAAAAAAUAAAAAAUAAAAAUUCAGAAGGUACCUGUGCUGUGAGUUCAUGAGUUCAUACUCCUCCUGGCCCUAAUAUUUCCCAUAUGGACCUUAACAUUGAAAAUAACAUAGAGAAGAGAAGACACCCCAACACUUAGACAUUGAACUACAUUGUGUUGUUGUACACUUAGUUGAUAUAUGGUUUUGCCAUUAAUCUCUCUCUCUC